AGAGUUUGAUCCUGGCUCAGAAUGAACGCUGGCGGCGUGCUUAACACAUGCAAGUCGAGCGAGAAAGUCUCUUCGGAGAUAAGUACAGCGGCGGACGGGUGAGUAACGCGUAAGAAUCUGCCCUUUAGUGAAGAAUACUCCUGAGAAAUUGGGCUUAAUACUGCAUGUGUCCCUUCGGGGAUAAAGGUGGCUUUAUGCUG
rnacentral:rRNA from 1 species